AUUGAACGCUGGCGGCAUGCCUUACACAUGCAAGUCGAACGGCAGCACGGGAGCUUGCUCCUGGUGGCGAGUGGCGAACGGGUGAGUAAAGCAUCGGAACGUGCCCUGAAGUGGGGGAUAACGUAGCGAAAGUUACGCUAAUACCGCAUAUUCUGUGAGCAGGAAAGCAGGGGAUCUUCGGACCUUGUGCUUUAGGAGCGGCCGAUGUCGGAUUAGCUAGUUGGUGAGGUAAAGGCUCACCAAGGCGACGAUCCGUAGCGGGUCUGAGAGGAUGAUCCGCCACACUGGGACUGAGACACGGCCCAGACUCCUACGGGAGGCAGCAGUGGGGAAUUUUGGACAAUGGGCGCAAGCCUGAUCCAGCCAUGCCGCGUGAGUGAAGAAGGCCUUCGGGUUGUAAAGCUCUUUCGGCGGGGAAGAAAUUGCACUCUCUAAUACAGGGUGUAGAUGACGGUACCCGCAUAAGAAGCACCGGCUAACUACGUGCCAGCCGCCGCCGUAACAC
rnacentral:rRNA from 1 species